AUUGAACGCUGGCGGCAGGCCUAACACAUGCAAGUCGAACGGUAGCACAGAGGAGCUUGCUCCUUGGGUGACGAGUGGCGGACGGGUGAGUAAUGUCUGGGAAACUGCCCGAUGGAGGGGGAUAACUACUGGAAACGGUAGCUAAUACCGCAUAACGUCGCAAGACCAAAGAGGGGGACCUUCGGGCCUCUUGCCAUCGGAUGUGCCCAGAUGGGAUUAGCUAGUAGGUGGGGUAACGGCUCACCUAGGCGACGAUCCCUAGCUGGUCUGAGAGGAUGACCAGCCACACUGGAACGGAGACACGGUCCAGACUCCUACGGGAGGCAGCAGUGGGGAAUAUUGCACAAUGGGCGCAAGCCUGAUGCAGCCAUGCCGCGUGUAUGAAGAAGGCCUUCGGGUUGUAAAGUACUUUCAGCGAGGAGGAAGGUGUUGUGGUUAAUAACCACAGCAAUUGACGUUACUCGCAGAAGAAGCACCGGCUAACUCCGUGCCAGCCGCCGCCGUAA
rnacentral:rRNA from 1 species